rnacentral:misc_RNA from 1 species
GGAGGAUUGACAGAUACCUACCCACUUUUGUGAAUCAUGAUUCACAACUGGGGCUUGUAACUGGUUCAGGCUUGGUUGAACAAAAGUUGAACCACUCGACUCUGCAUCAGUUUUAUGAUAAUGAGUCUUAAUGCCAUAUAAUAACAAAGUGAUUGAGGCUGUUUGUAAUUUAGUUGUAAAUCAUGUGCAAGCACAACUUUACAAACCUCAAUACCACAGUUGUAUAUUUUUCUUUCCUUUUUAACCCCUGUAUAAAUGUGAAUAAUUGAGUUCCCCUCCAGGUUUCCUGGUCAUUGUUAUAUACUUCUUGAUUUCUGUAACAA